UGAGGAAGCAGAGCCGGAAGAGGCACAGUGAUUGUCAGACAGGGAGGAAAAUCAGGAGCAGAUUCAUUCUUUGACUUCAUGAGACCCAGAUCAUGCUGUUGCAAAAGCACAUGGUGGGGCAGCCUCCUUAGAUGGACCUGGGUUUCAGUGCCAUCACCAUGCUUGGUAACCAGUGAGGUUGGCCUGGCUCCUUAACAUAUCUGAGACCAUUUAGUCCUCCAUGAAACACAAGAAGAGCUCACUUGAUCUAGUUCACAGGACUGUUCUGCAGCUUCAAGAUUGUUGCAUUUUAAAUUUGACUGGCUGCCAACAUACCUCGAAGUAACCUUAACUUAGUGUUCUUAUCAAUGGAACAGAGAGGAAAACAAGUUAACCUUAUAAUUCAAAAAUUUGCAAAGUACAAAAAAUGCUUUACAC
rnacentral:lncRNA from 1 species